AGCCUUUAGCAAAACAAGUAUUAAAGGUAGCGCCUGCCCAGUGAAACUUAAACGGCCGCGGUAUCCUAACCGUGCAAAGGUAGCGUAAUCACUUGUCUUAUAAAUAAAGACCCGUAUGAAUGGCUAAAUGAAUAUUUAACUGUCUCCUUUAACUAAUCAGUGAAACUGAUCUUUCAGUACAAAAGCUGAAAUAAAAACAUAAGACGAGAAGACCCUGUGGAGCUUCAAAUUUUAAACAAAGUAUAAUAAAAAUGUAUUUAUGUUAAAAAUUUUUAGUUGGGGCGACUUUGGAGCAAAACUAAACCUCCAAGAAAAGGCACAGCCUAACUAAGACCAACAGGCCAAACCAUAAAGACCCAGUAUAUUUACUGACUAAUGAACCAAGUUACCCCAGGGAUAACAGCGCCAUCUUCUUCAAGAGUUCCUAUCGACAAGAAGGUUUACGACCUCGAUGUUGGAUCAGGACACCCUAAUGGUGCAGCCGCUAUUAAAG
rnacentral:rRNA from 1 species